AUCUAAAGCAUCAGCGUCUUGGUCUCCGUUACUGUGCUCUCCUCGUAGAUAUUUUUCGUUAGCGAAUCUGAAGAUAUAAUACUUGGAGGAUGGCAACUAAUGAGGAAGGAGAGGAGAAUACCUCUCGUGGAAAUGAGUGGGAAGUUGUAUCACUUACAGCAUCAACAUAUGCUGCUGCUGGUGCUUCUGGUCCAGAAGUUGAACUGAAGUAUGAAAACAAGGAUAAUGCACAUGGAGAGGAUGAAGCAGAAACUUCUCGUGCUUUGUUCAUGUCUGGUCAUUUUGUCUUUCCACCUAGCCAGCAUGAGAAUUUGCCAUUGGAUCCUGAUAAUAGUGAGAUUCUCAAUGAACAAGCUGGGGAGAAUGUUGCCUCUGAACAGGGUGCGGAAGAAGGGGAUAAAUCUGGCAGAAAGGAUGAAGAAAACUUUAAACUUAAGGAGUUGAAUGUAUCUGAAGAGUUUCCUGGGAUACAGUUUUUUGAUGACAAGGAGCAGAGUAUAUACAGUACAUCUACUUUUAGUUCUUUGCACUGUGAAACUGGACUCAGUGGAUCAGCUGCAUAUGGAGAGAACCUGGUUAUUCCUGUAGUAAAUGAACAGGCUAAAGAGGAGUUGGAUUUCUCAACAGACAUUUGUCACUCCCCAAAGCCUGCUAAAGAUGGUAAAGAUGAUGGGUCUGACCUUCCAUGUGAGGCUUGGUGGAAGAGAAGGGCAACUUCCUUGUACACUCAUGCAAAAGAGACAAAUGCAUUUUGGCCCAUAACUGCUGCUGCAACAAAAAUG
rnacentral:misc_RNA from 1 species